ACUCCUACGGGAGGCAGCAGUGGGGAAUAUUGCACAAUGGGCGCAAGCCUGAUCCAGCCAUGCCGCGUGUGUGAAGAAGGCCUUCGGGUUGUAAAGCACUUUCAGUAGGGAGGAAAGGUUGUACGUUAAUACCGUGCAGCUGUGACGUUACCUACAGAAGAAGCACCGGCUAACUCCGUGCCAGCAGCCGCGGUAAUACGGAGGGUGCGAGCGUUAAUCGGAAUUACUGGGCGUAAAGCGCGUGUAGGUGGCUUGUUAAGCCAGAUGUGAAAGCCCCGGGCUCAACCUGGGAACUGCAUUUGGAACUGGCAGGCUAGAGUUUUGUAGAGGGUGGUAGAAUUUCAGGUGUAGCGGUGAAAUGCGUAGAGAUCUGAAGGAAUACCGGUGGCGAAGGCGACCACCUGGCCAAUAACUGACACUGAGACGCGAAGGCGUGGGUAGCAAACGGGAUUAGAUACCCUGGUAGGACAGU
rnacentral:rRNA from 1 species